rnacentral:rRNA from 1 species
GAUGAACGCUAGCUACAGGCUUAACACAUGCAAGUCGAGGGACCGGCGCACGGGUGAGUAACACGUAUCCAACCUGCCCUUUACUCGGGGAUAGCCUUUCGAAAGAAAGAUUAAUACCCGAUAUAAAGGAUGGGGAUGCGUUGAAUUAGGUUGUUGGUGAGGUAACGGCUCACCAAGCCGUCGAUGGAUAGGGGUUCUGAGAGGAAGGUCCCCCAAAGUGGAGAUGAGAAACGGUCCAAAAUCCUACGGGAGGCAGGAGUGAGGAAUAUUGGGCAAUGGGCGCUAGCCUGAACCAGCCAAGUAGCGGGAAGAAGGAAGGCUUAUGGGUCGUAAACUUCUUGUAUAUAAGAAUAUGUAUUAUAUGAAUAAGGAUCGGCUAACUCCGUGCCAACAGACGCGGUAAUAC